UGGGGAAUAUUGGACAAUGGGCGAAAGCCUGAUCCAGCCAUGCCGCGUGUGUGAAGAAGGUCUUCGGAUUGUAAAGCACUUUAAGUUGGGAGGAAGGGCAGUAAGCGAAUACCUUGCUGUUUUGACGUUACCGACAGAAUAAGCACCGGCUAACUCUGUGCCAGCAGCCGCGGUAAUACAGAGGGUGCAAGCGUUAAUCGGAAUUACUGGGCGUAAAGCGCGCGUAGGUGGUUCGUUAAGUUGAAUGUGAGAGCCCCGGGCUCAACCUGGGAACUGCAUCCAAAACUGGCGAGCUAGAGUAGGGCAGAGGGUGGUGGAAUUUCCUGUGUAGCGGUGAAAUGCGUAGAUAUAGGAAGGAACACCAGUGGCGAAGGCGACCACCUGGGCUCAUACUGACACUGAGGUGCGAAAGCGUGGGGAGCAAACAGG
rnacentral:rRNA from 1 species